rnacentral:lncRNA from 1 species
GCAGUCGGCCUGUGGCUGGCCAUGUUCAUGAGGGCGCGUCCCUUGGCACCCCUGUAGCCGCUAUGUUUCCCACGCCCGUGGCAGGCCUGAGAGAUUAUGUUUGCGGGGGGUGCUUUUUUGGUAGCUUCUGUGUUCGCCAUAUUUGAAAGGGGCAGACGGCCAUGUUCGUGAACGGCGCUUCCCUUGGUGCACCUGUGGCCGCCAUGUUUGAGCGGGACCCCGUGGCAGGCCAGGACUGUUUCUCCGGUGCUAUCCCAGAGCAUGGCGCAUCCACUCAUUCACUCAAGGGAAAGGCCUGAAAGUAAAAUUGUAUCAACCUUAGGUUUGGCUAAUGUUGCCAUUAGGCAAACCUAAUGUUAACGAAGCCAGGAGGUUCUCGUUUUGGGCCUUGACUGGACAGGUUUGAGCUAGAAACCACUCGAAGUAUUGAUCAUCCAUCUGAUCAUCAAGUUUUUUUUUUUUUUUGAGUUGGAGUCUCACUCUGUUGCUCACGCUGGAGUGCAGUGGCACGAUCUCAGCUCCCUGCAACCUCCACCUCCCGGGUUCUCCUGCCUCAGCCUUCCAAGUAGCUGGGAUUAUAAGCUUGUGCCACCAUGCCUGGCUAAUUUUUUAUAUUUUCGGUUGAGAUGGGGUUUCACCGUGUGGCCAGGCUGGUCUCAAACUCCUAACCUCAAGUGAUCCGCCUGCCUCGGCCUCCCAAAGUGCUGGGAUUACAGGCGUGAGCCGCCACUCCCAGCUUGUUCAUCCAGUUUUUAUUGAGCAUCUAUUAUGUGCCGAUAUUGAGGUAGACUCUGGGAGUCACAGCAGUGAAUGCAGCUGCCUGGAUGCCUCCUGAGGGCCGGAGCCUCACUGGGGAGAUGGACAUGAACAGCAAAAUGCACAGCGAGGAAAGCCAGGGGUCUCUGCGGGGAUGCUGCAGGACACGAGAGCCAGCCAAGACCUAUGGCCCCUGCAGCCACCGAGGGCUCGAGAGCGCCCCUGUGGACUUGGCUGGGCCCUUCAUGGUGACAUCCAGGAAUGCGGCUGAGCGCGGGUGUUGACCUCGCUGUUUGCUGGAAUGUUUGGGUUCUUGGACCAUGUCAGUGACGGCUGUGUCACCAUGGCCUCGCUAUCCCCAGGAAAACCUAACGUGCACCCCGCGCCUGUCCUCUGGGACUCCUGUCCUCCUCCUUUGUCUGACCCCUGAGAGGCUUACCGUUUCCCCAGGGCAGCCCCGGCUGUGGCCCUCGGCCCUGCUCCAGGCGGCCAUGUCAGUGUCCUCCCUCGGCGCUCCCAACACCCUACCUGGCUCUGCGAUGGCCACCCUGGACUCCUAAACACCCCAGAAAGGGAAGAGAUUUAAGAGGAACCUUGACUCCUGCCAUUCUGCGCAGUCGUGGGUCCCUCCUCCACCCGGGGCCCUCAAGGGGAUUUCUGUCCACACUCCCAGCCAGCGACCCCUCCCAGUUCCGCAGCUGGAGCGGCCCUCUCUCCUGAACAUUCGGGCACCUGCGUCUGUCACUGCAGCCAGAGGGCUGGAGUGUCUUCGGUCAACUCGCCAUCCCUGCCACGGCUGGAGGCCACAUGUCCCAGAACCUACCUUGCUGGGAUGGGGGUUGGGGUGGCAGAGGCUGAACGCAUGUGAGGUUUGGGGGAGGACAAGCGGAGCGGGGAUGUGUGGGAGGUCCUGGUGUCCACCGUGAGGACGGUCACACCCCAUAGCUUUGUUGAUGCUGUGGCUGUAGCAGGCCCAGUGGCUCCGCUGAGCCUCCCUAGCACCAGUGCCCAGUGAAGUGUGGGGGGCUGGACAUAGGUGGCCUCAGUUCCUGGGACUCCCCCAAAGCUCUGGUUUCCCCCCUGCUCCCAGGCUUCAGGUGGACGAGUUAGUGACCACCCCCACUCCAGACCUCCCUCCCCCAGCCACCCCCACAGUUAUAAAAACCUUCAUUCUCAUAUGGAA